GAUGAACGCUGGCGGCGUGCCUAAUACAUGCAAGUCGAGCGAAUGGAUUAAGAGCUUGCUCUUAUGAAGUUAGCGGCGGACGGGUGAGUAACACGUGGGUAACCUGCCCAUAAGACUGGGAUAACUCCGGGAAACCGGGGCUAAUACCGGAUAACAUUUUGAACCGCAUGGUUCGAAAUUGAAAGGCGGCUUCGGCUGUCACUUAUGGAUGGACCCGCGUCGCAUUAGCUAGUUGGUGAGGUAACGGCUCACCAAGGCAACGAUGCGUAGCCGACCUGAGAGGGUGAUCGGCCACACUGGGACUGAGACACGGCCCAGACUCCUACGGGAGGCAGCAGUAGGGAAUCUUCCGCAAUGGACGAAAGUCUGACGGAGCAACGCUGCGUGAGUGAUGAAGGCUUUCGGAUCGUAAAACUCUGUUGUUAGGGAAGAACAAGUGCUAGUUGAAUAAGCUGGCACCUUGACGGUACCUAACCAGAAAGCCACGGCUAACUACGUGCCAGCCGCCGCUGUAA
rnacentral:rRNA from 1 species